rnacentral:rRNA from 1 species
UACGGAGGGUGCAAGCGUUAUCCGGAUUUACUGGGUUUAAAGGGUGCGCAGGCGGCUAUGUAAGUCAGUGGUGAAAUCUCUAGGCUUAACCUGGAAAUUGCCGUUGAUACUAUAUAUCUUGAAUGCUGUGGAGGUAAGCGGAAUAUGUCAUGUAGCGGUGAAAUGCUUAGAUAUGACAUAGAACACCUAUUGCGAAGGCAGCUUACUACGCAGAUAUUGACGCUCAUGCGCGAAAGCGUGGGGAUCGAACAGG